rnacentral:lncRNA from 1 species
GAAGGGGAUGCACAGAGUACCUUGGUAUCCGACAUUUUUAGGGAAGGUUCUGUUUGCUUCGGUGUAGGUUUUGCCCCGUUUUACUACCUGCUGCUGCUGAUGCUGUAAUACAACAUGGUUGAAACUUGCCUCUUGUUGAGGUCAAAUAUGGCACUGCUGGUGGAAUGAUCUCAUUUUCCCAAGUGGUCUAAAGUACACAUAAAUAAGAGAUUGGUGACCUCACAUGUAAGAGGUGGCUCUCGUUGCUAGGAUUUUGAUUAAAAAAAAAAAGCCUAUAUGGUACCUAGAAAGAAAGAAAGAAAGAGCUUGUUUCAAACUGUUUGACUAAUCAGUUUCACAUCUCACUUGCCAGUAGGAGCUGAUCAGGAUAAUAGCUCAUGAGGAAAUUUUUAUGUACAUGAAAUAAAAAUGCAUUUUAUUUAUAGGUCCAUAAUGAGGUGGCUUUUCAUUUAAUAUCAUUGAAAGAGUGCUUGAUUUUGCUGGUUAAUGAGUUUAUGAAAAGUAAGUAAACUAAAAAUUUGAGGUUGAUUUAUACAGAAUUUCUGCUCUUUAUUAAAAACUAACCAUUUAAUAGAAUGGCACGAAAGUAAUUACUUGAAGGCAAUACACACAAGAACAUACAUAGAGAAUGCAACUUAGCAAACAAAGAUACAAGUAUUGAACAACAUGAAGAAAGUGUGGAGGAGACCUGCUAGGUGGUGACUGGAAAAUACCCAAAUUUCAUUACUAAUUAGAAUAUGGUAAACUGGAGGGGGGGGGAAAUGGCCUGGUACGGGAUUGUUGAGGCUGUGGAAUGUAGAGAUUUGAAUGGCAUAGUGGGAAAACAGCAGAACUUAAUUCAGUGUUCAUGUGCUUGUGUGCAAAGCACAAGAGAAGAAAGAACGUUUGCUCCGUAGUUUUACCACGUGACAAGGUGCUGUCUGUAUGUUGGUAGAUUGAGUUUAACAUGAACUUUUGUCCUUUGCAUUCUUAAGCACCUUAACUGUACAUGGGUAGUAUUUAUAUAAACUGAAAUGGCAAGCUUUUAUUUUGUGCUAUCACAUGAUAAUUGUCUUAGGUUUUUUUGGGGGGGGCUGUGCUUAUUGGUUAGUAAAGAAAUAUGAAUCUAUGUCUUAGAACAUGGAGACAAAAUUGCUGACUGUUCUUGUACUAAUCCCUAGAGUUGUGGGUACUGUUAAAAGUAUGUCAUCUUCCUCUGUCUUAAGAGCAGAAAGGCUUGCCCUUUUCCUUUUGGAACCAUUCAAUAGUGGAUCAUUGAGCCUGUGCCAUCCCACACCCCAGCAGCAUGGUAAUAACACACCCCAGCAGCAUGGUAAUAGACCUGUGCUUGCUCACUCCUUUAGAGAGAGCUAAGUGGCUUCUAACAGUCACAUCCUUUCACUGUGCAAAUCUUCUCCUUGGGAGAACCGACACUAGUGAGUUUUCAAAAAGUGAGCUGGGGAGUGGGGGUGGGGUAGACCAUUCUGAGUUUUUUGUUUGUUUUGGAGGAGCUGAAUGUUCAUCCUUAAGAAUUAGCCAUUCCUGCCAUCUCAUUCAUUACCUGAAGUCAUAAUUUUCUCUUUGACAUCUCUUAAUUAGUUUUGGAAACAAUUAUGUCACAGAUGGAGACAUUCAUGACCAGCUCUGAAGCAAAGAGUAUAGGAUAAAUGGAAGUCUGAGUCAUGCAUGCAGUUAGCAAAGUGCUGGCAGCACUUGGAGAUAGCCAGCCUCUGGCUUUGUCUUUCAAAAAAAAAGAAACUCUUAUUUUGUUUUUGUCAUUAAAAAAGUUUUUUAUCAUGUAGCCUGGGCUCACAAACAUGUAUUUCUACCUAACCCCAGGAAAGCCCUACUCCCCUUUUAAAAAGCUUUAUGUGUAUUGAGUGUUUGCCUUCAUGUAUGUGUGUGUGUGUGUGUGUGUGUGUGUGUGUGUGUGUGUAUCUGUGUGUCUGGUGUCUAGAAAGGUCAGAAGAGGGAGGUAGGGCCCCUUGUCACUGGAGUUAAAACUGACUCUGCCACCAUACGGUGCUGGGAAGCAAACCCAGAUUCCCCAAAAGAGUCACAAGUGAGUGUUACUAAAUGUUUGAACUAUCUUUCCAAUCCCAAGACCUUGCUUCUUUUUAAAUUCUGUAUCUGUAUGUGUGUGUGAGUGCAGGUGCCUGCAGAGACUAGAGUCAGAUACCCUUGGAGUUGAAAGCACAAGCCGCCUGAUGUGGAUGCUGGGAACUGAACUCAAGUCCUGAGCCAUCUCUUCAUCCUUCCUCUCCAUGGACCAGUUUUAAUAAUGAUGAAGACUGGCGGAGCAUUUGACCUCCUGUUUUACUCCCAGGAGCGUGGCCUUUUCCAUAUGUUAAAUUAGUCUUAUUACUGUUGUUGUGUUUUGUAAGUGUUGUAUUUAUUGUGAAACUAACAGUUGUAAUAAAUUUUACUAAUUAUAUUUAAUAGGAUAAAUUAGAAAUUAAGAGAUAUAUCUUUAAAUAUAGACAACAAAAUAAGUCUAAGGCUGAGAAGCUGACUCAGGAGGUAAAAUGCUUACUUCACAAGCAUGAAGUUCUGAACUGAAAUCCCUAGCAUCCAUGUAAAAAGCUAGAUCUGGUGCCAUAUGGCUAUAACCCUAGCUCUGAUCCUGGAGACUUGCUAACCAGCUAGUCGAGCCAUCGAGCUCCAGGUUCAGCAAGAGACCCUGCCUCAAAAAACAGAGUGAAGAACCAUAAAGGAGGACAUACACCAUCAGCCUCCAGCCUCCACAUGGGCGCACAGGCGUGCACACACUAAAAAUAUUUGUAAGAUCUCAUUUUAUAAAUAUGAAAUAUCUCCGUUUUUAAGUGUAGUUCCUGCAAGACAUUAAUAGUUGACAGGUUUGACUGAAGACAACAGGUUUUAUUAUAAUUUACACAGUUGCUACUCUCCAGUAAGUCUAAAAAGAGACUUAUAGUAGAACUCUAAAUAUUCUUUACUAUCAAUAUUAAAUGCCAUAAAUUGAGUUUCAGAUAAGUGUUCAUUUUCAGCUACUUUUGAUAUGACUUUAAUUGAUAGUAUGUUUUUUACCUAAUAGAUCUCGAAAAGUUUUUUUAAUUGUAUACUCUUUUCCCCCCAAAAAAAGUUGUACCACAUUAUACAGUUUAUACAUACCACAGUAUAAUCUAUACUAAGAAAAAUGUACAUCAUACAAAAAUUUUAACAAAUAAGAUAAAAUGAAAAAUUUUUUUUAAAUUUUUAUCUGUGUGAUGAUGCUCUUAUAUUCUAGAUGUCACUGAGGUCUAGACCAUUUAGAAAACUUCCUCAUUGACUGAACUGUCUUGGUAACCACUCAUCUCCAGUGACUGUGUAUUAGGGGAGGUGGGGGAAACCUUCCCAAUGUUUCAAGUUGUGGGUAGUAUUUGAUUAGGAGAAACCGAGUACUUGCUGGUCUUGCUGUGCAUAGAUUUCCCAUUGAGAAGUACAUAUUUAUUUCACUAAAGAAUUUCAGAACAACGCUAAAAUCAUACUGUCUUCCUUCCCUACUCCCACCACCACCCUCUUUGGGGAAAGGGGUUGUUUUUUAUUUCUUUGCUAAAAUACUACUGGAUAUUUUACCAGUGCCAUGUAACUGUUAAGACAUUUUGCAGAUGUUGAACCUGAGGUUCUAAAAGAUAGUUUAGUACAUCUAGGUUUAGGCCAGUUUAAACAGUAUUAUUUUCACUAUUAGUAAUUUAAAUUCAAGUGAAAUUUUUGAAAAAAAAAAAACUAAAUAUGUUUGCAGUUAACAUUUUCUAGGGAUAUAGGCCAGUGGUAGAGGAUUUACCUACCAUUGGUGAGAUG